rnacentral:lncRNA from 1 species
AAAAUAAGGAAAACAUGUUACAAAAUCAGAUCAUGUAAAUAUGGUUUAGGGAGAGAAAGGAAGGCAGAGUGGAAAUGUGUUGACUUACAUCAGAGAUUUCAGCAGAAUCCACUCCCCUGACCUGUCCUUGGAGAUGACUCAGAAUCUGCUGACACUGCAUGAGAAGAUUAUCAGAACCACAUCCUCAAUAACAACAGCUCCUGAAAUGGUGACUGAUGACUGCUGCAUCGAUGCACUCUCUAAUACAAAAGCAUUGUAUUUCAAUAAUCUGACUGGUCGGUCACUGUAUCGAUGCACUCUAAUACAUAUGACUAUGGUCUACCGACUAAUUGGGAUAUUUGGUCCAAAUGUUUUUAUUUGUUUCUGUCAAUAGUGAUGCAGCUGAACAAGUGUAGUCAGUGCCAGUAUAGAUGUAUGGACCAAACCUGUCAUCAUUUGAAAUAAAUGAAUGCAUGCACAUAUAAAUAGAUAAAUAAAAGCACACAUGAAUUGAUGAAUGAAUGCCAGGGCUUGUCCUCUUGUCCGGGACAAGUGAAAAUAAAAAAAUCAUAAUCAUGUAAUAACACCAACAAAAAAAACAAUUCAAAAUAUUUUAUAUUUCAGACUCUUCAAAUAGCCACCCUUGAUGACAGCUUUGCACACUCUUGGCAUUAUAUCAACCAGCUUCAUGAGGUAGUCAUCUGGAAUGUGUUUCAACUAACAGGUGUGCCUUCUUAAAAGUUAUGUUGUAGAAUUUCCUUUCCUUCUAAAUGCGUUUCAGCCAAUCAGUUGUGUUGUGACAAGGUAGCAGAGGUAUAUAGAAGAUAGCCCUAUUUGGUAAAAGACCAAGUCCAUAUUAUGGCAAGAACAACUCAAAUAAAUAAAGAGAAACGACAGUCCAUCAUUACUUUAAGACAUGAAGGCCAGUCAAUACGGAAAAUGUCAAGAACUUUGAAAGUUUCUUCAAGUGCAGUUGCAAAAACCAUCAAGCGCUAUGAUGAAACUGUCUCUCAUGAGGACCACCACAGGAAUGGAAGACCCAGAGUUAACUAUGCUGCAGAGGAUAAGUUCAUUGCAGCCCAAAUAAAAGCUUCACAGAGUUCAAGUAACAGACACAUCUCAACAUCAACUGUUCAGAGGAGGCUGUGUGAAUCAGGCCUUCAUGGUUGAAUUGCUGCAAAGAAAUCACUACUAAUGGACACCAACAAGAAAAAGAGACUUGUUUGGGCCAAGAAACACGAUCAAUGGACAUUAAACCGGUGGAAAUUUGCCCUUUGGUCUGGAGUCCAAAUUGGAGAUAUUUGGUUGCAACCGCCGUGUCUUUGUCAGACGCGGUGUGAGUUAACGGAUGAUCUCCGCAUGUGUGGUGGCCACUGUAAACCAUGGAAGAGGUGGUGUUAUGGUGCUUUGCUGGUGACAGUCUGAUUUAUUUAGAAUUCAAGGCCCACUUAACCAGCCUGGCCACCACAGCAUUCUGCAGUGAGACAACAUCCCAUCUGGUUUGGGCUUAGUGGGACUCCAGGCUUUGUAAGGGCUAUUUGACCAAGAAGGAGAGUGAUGGAGAGCUGCAUCAGAUCACCUGGCCUCCACAAUCCGCCAACCUCAACCAAAUUGCGAUGGUUUGGGAUGCGUCGAACCGCAGAGUAAAGGAAAAGCAGCCAACAAGUGCUCAGUAUAGGGGAACUCCUUCAAGACUGUUGUAAAAGCAUUCCAGUUGAAGCUAGUUGACAGAAUGCCAAGAGUGUGCAAAGCUGUCAUCAAGGCACAGGGUGGCUACUUUGAAGAAUCUCAAAUAUAUUUUACAUUUGUUUAACAUUUUUUGGUUACUACUCUGACCCAGAAAAUAGAAUAUGCAUAUUAUUAGUAGAUUUGAAUAGAAAACACCCUGAAGGUUCUAAAACUGUUUGAAUGGUGUCUGUGAGUAUAACAGAACUCAUAUGGCAGGCAAAAAACCUGAGAAAAAUUGAAUCAGGAAGUGGGAGAAAUUAGAAAUGUAGUUUGUUUUGAAUCCCUUGAAAAACUACAGUGACAGGAUUUACGUUACACCUCCUAAAUCUUCCAUUGGCUGUCAACAAUCUUUAGGAACUGGUUUCAACCGUCAGCUGUUACCGGGCAGAUCAUUUUUGGCUCAGUCAAUCAUUGGCCAGUCUGAGGAGAGGUGUAUUAUGAUGCGCGUGCACGUGACGUUAUCGUUUUUAUAUUUUUCUUCUGGGAUGAAUAGCUAAUGCCCGGUUGUAAAAUGAUCGCAAUUUUACGUAAAAAAAUACCCUAAAGGAUUGAUUGUAAACAUCGUUUGACGUGUUUCUACAAACGGUAAUGGAACUUUGAACAUUUCGUCUAUGAAUUUGCGUCCACGCCACAUGGUAUUGUAAAGUGUUCUGGAUGGGUCAACAAAACAGACGUAUUUGGACUUUGCAGAACAAAUGAACAUUUCUUGUGGAAGUGGGUGCCCAUCCGAGUGCAUUCCGCCGAAGAUCAGCAAAGGUAAGUAAAUAUUUCAAACAUAUUGUUAGAGAUUUGUCGACGCCGCGGUUGUAGGCUAACUGUAUAGCUUAGCAUUGAAGGCUAAGUUCUGUACUCAGAAUAUUGAACAAUGUGCUUUUUCCAUAACGUUAUUUUGAAAUCUGACAAAGUGGUUGCAUAAAGGAGUAGAUUAUCUCAAAUUUUUUAAAUAAUUGUUAUAAAUUUUGUCAACGUUUAUGAGUUCUUCUGUAAAUUAAAUGUGCCUAUUCACCGGAAGUUAUGGGGAGAAAACAUUUUCUGAACGUCACGCGCCAAUGUAAAAAUUGGGUUUUUGGAUAUAAAUAUAAACUUGAUCGAACAAAAAAAUGCAUGUAUUCUCUAACAUGAUGUCCUAGGAGUGUCAUCUGAUGAAGAUUGUCAAAGGUUUGUGCUUAAUUUUAGCUGUAUAUCUGGUUUUGUGAUGGCUAUCGUGCUUGGAAAGAAAAAAAAAAAGCUUUUUUUUUGGUUGCUGAGGUGCUAUGCUAAAAUAAUGUAAUGUUUUGCUUUCACCGUAAAGCCAUUUUGAAAUCGGACAAUGUGAUUGGAUUAACGAGUAGAGUAUCUUUAAAAUGCCGUAUAAUACUUGAAUUUUAAUUUUGAGAUUAUUUUGUUUUUAAUAUCGCGCCGUGCUAUCUCACUGGUUGUUGUCCAACCAAGGUUUAGCUAAAAUACAAGAAAAUAUAAACUUUUGAUGUUAAUUUGACAAAAGCUGGAUCCCUUCUAGCCAUGAACCUGUCAGUUGCUCUCGUGUUAUUACGUCGCCAACAUUUCGAGAAUUAAGUUCUAUAUGGGCGCUAACAUGGCGGCCGUUCUAAAACCUGGCCUAACUCUGAGUAUACAAAACAUUAAGAACACCAGCACUUUCCAUGACAGACUGACCAGGUGAAAGCUAUGAUCCCAUAUUAAUGUCACUUAUUAAUUCCCCUUCAAAUUAGUGUAGAUGAAAGGGAGGAGACAGGUUAAAGAAGGAUUUUUAAGCCUUGAGACAUGGAUUGUGAAAGUUAGCCAUUCAGAGGGUAUGAUAGUAGGUUCCAGCUGCAUCAGUUUGUGUCAAGAACUGCAACGCUGCUGGGUUUCUGUGUAUCAAGAAUGAUCCAUCACUCAAAGAACUUCCAGCCAACUAGACAACUGUGGGAAGCAUUGGAAUCAACACAGGCCAGCAUCCGUGUGGAACACUUUUGACAACUGGUGGAGUCCAUGACCCGAAGAAUUGAGGCUGUUCUGCGGGCAACUCAAUAUCAGGAAGGUGUUUUAAAAGGUUUGGUAUACUCAGUGUAUAUGGCUCUGGAUUGGCCUAUCACUCCAAUCAGUACUGCUGAAAAAGACAUGGUACUAUUUCAAGCGUCUCAUCUUUCUCAAUUAAUGUCAAGAGAAAUUACAGAUACAGGAUGUCCUUACUGUUUCUGCCAAUAAAUCAGGUGGGAGUCUUCCAAUGUUUUCCACAGUUUUGUCAACGCCUAAAAACAACAGAAGUUGAUUAGUAAGUAU